GAUGAACGCUGGCGGCGUGCCUAAUACAUGCAAGUCGAGCGAACGGACGAGAAGCUUGCUUCUCUGAUGUUAGCGGCGGACGGGUGAGUAACACGUGGAUAACCUACCUAUAAGACUGGGAUAACUUCGGGAAACCGUAGCUAAUACCGGAUAAUAUUUUGAACCGCAUGGUUCAAAAGUGAAAGACGGUCUUGCUGUCACUUAUAGAUGGAUCCGCGCUGCAUUAGCUAGUUGGUAAGGUAACGGCUUACCAAGGCAACGAUGCAUAGCCGACCUGAGAGGGUGGUCGGCCACACUGGAACUGAGACACGGUCCAGACUCCUACGGGAGGCAGCAGUAGGGAAUCUUCCGCAAUGGACGAGAGCCUGACGGAGCAACGCCGCGUGAGUGAUGAAGGUCUUCGGAUCGUAAAACUCUGUUAUUAGGGAAGAACAUAUGUGUAAGUAACUGUGCACAUCUUGACGGUACCUAAUCAGAAAGCCACGGCUAACUACGUG
rnacentral:rRNA from 1 species